rnacentral:rRNA from 1 species
GAUGAACGCUGGCGGCGUGCCUAAUACAUGCAAGUCGAGCGAACGGACGAGAAGCUUGCUCCUCUGAUGUUAGCGGCGGACGGGUGAGUAACACGUGGAUAACCUACCUAUAAGACUGGGAUAACUUCGGGAAACCGGAGCUAAUACCGGAUAAUAUUUUGAACCGCAUGGUUCAAAAGUGAAAGACGGUUUUGCUGUCACUUAUAGAUGGAUCCGCGCUGCAUUAGCUAGUUGGUAAGGUAACGGCUUACCAAGGCAACGAUGCGUAGCCGACCUGAGAGGGUGAUCGGCCACACUGGAACUGAGACACGGUCCAGACUCCUACGGGAGGCAGCAGUAGGGAAUCUUCCGCAAAGGGCGAAAGCCUGACGGAGCAACGCCGCGUGAGUGAUGAAGGUCUUCGGAUCGUAAAACUCUGUUAUUAGGGAAGAACAAAUGUGUAAGUAACUGUGCACAUCUUGACGGUACCUAAUCAGAAAGCCACGGCUAACUACGUG